rnacentral:rRNA from 1 species
GAGUUUGAUCAUGGCUCAGGACGAACGCUGGCGGCGUGCCUAAUACAUGCAAGUCGAACGCACUGACGGAGAACUUGUUCUCUUGACGUGAGUGGCGCACGGGUGAGUAACACGUGGGAAACCUACCCUUCAGCGGGGGAUAACCAUCGGAAACGAUGACUAAUACCGCAUAGACGACAGAACCGCCUGGUUCAAUCGGGAAAGACGGCUUCGGCUGUCACUGAAGGAUGGUCCCGCGCUGCAUUAGCUAGUUGGUAAGGUAACGGCUUACCAAGGCGAUGAUGCAUAGCCGACCUGAGAGGGUGAUCGGCCACAUUGGGACUGAGACACGGCCCAAACUCCUACGGGAGGCAGCAGUAGGGAAUCUUCCGCAAUGGACGCAAGUCUGACGGAGCAACGCCGCGUGUGUGAAGAAGGUUUUCGGAUCGUAAAGCACUGUUAUUAGAGAAGAACAGCCGAUAGAGUAACUGUUAUCGGUUUGACGGUAUCUAACCAGAAAGUGACGGCUAACUACGUGCCAGCAGCCGCGGUAAUACGUAGGUCACAAGCGUUGUCCGGAUUUAUUGGGCGUAAAGGGAGCGCAGGCGGUUUGUUAAGUCUGAUGUGAAAGCCCACGGCUCAACCGUGGAACGGCAUUGGAAACUGGCAAACUUGAGUAUAGAAGAGGAAAGUGGAAUUCCAUGUGUAGCGGUGAAAUGCGUAGAUAUAUGGAGGAACACCAGUGGCGAAGGCGACUUUCUGGUCUAUAACUGACGCUGAGGCUCGAAAGCGUGGGGAGCGAACAGGAUUAGAUACCCUGGUAGUCCACGCCGUAAACGAUGAGUGUUAAGUGUUGGGGGGCUUCCACCCCUCAGUGCUGGCGUUAACGCAAUAAACACUCCGCCUGGGG